UACGGGGGGGGGCAAGCGUUGUUCGGAAUUACUGGGCGUAAAGGGCUCGUAGGCGGCCAACUAAGUCGGAUGUGAAAUCCCCCAGGCUCAACCUGGGGACUGCAUCCGAUACUGGAUGGCUUGAAUUCGGGAGAGGGAUGCAGAAUUCCAGGUGUAGCGGUGAAAUGCGUAGAUAUCUGGAGGAAUACCGGUGGCGAAGGCGGCAUCCUGGACCGACAUUGACGCUGAGGAGCGAAAGCUAGGGGAGCAAACGGG
rnacentral:rRNA from 1 species